CUGGGAAUCCUGGGAAUGGAAUUCCGGGAAUACAGCCCAGGAUAGAGCGUGAGUUAUACUGCGAAUACUGGGAAUGAAAUCCUGGGAAUACAGCCCUGGAUACAGCGUGAGUUACACUGAGAAUACUGGGAAUACUG